ACGCCAGUGGCUCAAUUGGUAGAGCAUCGGAUUCCAAAUCCGAGGGUUGGGGGUUCGAGUCCCUCCUGGCGUG
rnacentral:tRNA from 1 species